AGAGUUUGAUCCUGGCUCAGGAUGAACGCUGGCGGCGUGCUUAACACAUGCAAGUCGAACGAGGCUUAUCGACGGAAGUUUUCGGAUGGAAGACGGUAAGACCGAGUGGCGGACGGGUGAGUAACGCGUGGGGAACCUGCCCCAUUCCGGGGGAUACCAGUUGGAAACGACUGUUAAUACCGCAUAAGCGCACAAGCGGACAUCCGCAAGUGUGAAAAACUGAGGUGGAAUGGGAUGGCCCCGCGUCUGAUUAGCCAGUUGGCAGGGUAACGGCCUACCAAAGCGACGAUCAGUAGCCGGCCUGAGAGGGCGACCGGCCACAUUGGGACUGAGACACGGCCCAAACUCCUACGGGAGGCAGCAGUGGGGAAUAUUGCACAAUGGGGGAAACCCUGAUGCAGCGACGCCGCGUGAGUGAAGAAGUAUUUCGGUAUGUAAAGCUCUAUCAGCAGGGAAGAAGAUGACGGUACCUGCACAAGAAGCCCCGGCUAACUACGUGCCAGCAGCCGCGGUAAUACGUAGGGGGCAAGCGUUAUCCGGAUUUACUGGGUGUAAAGGGAGCGUAGACGGAAGAUCAAGUCAGGUGUGAAAGGCAUGGGCUCAACUCGUGGACUGCACUUGAAACUGGUCAUCUUGAGUGUCGGAGGGGCAGGCGGAAUUCCUGGUGUAGCGGUGAAAUGCGUAGAUAUCAGGAAGAACACCGGUGGCGAAGGCGGCCUGCUGGACGAUCACUGACGUUGAGGCUCGAAGGCGUGGGGAGCAAACAGGAUUAGAUACCCUGGGUAGUCCACGCAGUAAACGAUGAAUACUAGUGCUGGGUUCCAGAGGAAUUCGGUGCCGGCGCCAACGCAUUAAGUAUUCCACCUGGGAGUACGUUCGCAGAAUGAA
rnacentral:rRNA from 1 species